rnacentral:rRNA from 1 species
AUUGAACGCUGGCGGCAGGCUUAACACAUGCAAGUCGAGCGGAGAUGAGGUGCUUGCACCUUAUCUUAGCGGCGGACGGGUGAGUAAUGCUUAGGAAUCUGCCUAUUAGUGGGGGACAACAUUCCGAAAGGAAUGCUAAUACCGCAUACGCCCUACGGGGGAAAGCAGGGGAUCUUCGGACCUUGCGCUAAUAGAUGAGCCUAAGUCGGAUUAGCUAGUUGGUGGGGUAAAGGCCUACCAAGGCGACGAUCUGUAGCGGGUCUGAGAGGAUGAUCCGCCACACUGGGACUGAGCCACGGCCAAGACUCGUACGGGAGGCAGCAGUGGGGAAUAUUGGACAAUGGGCGGAAGCCUGAUCCAGGCAUGCCGCGUGUGUGAAGAAGGCCUUUUGGUUGUAAAGCACUUUAAGCGAGGAGGAGGCUACCUGGAUUAAUACUCUAGGAUAGUGGACGUUACUCGCAGAAUAAGCACCGGCUAACUCUGUGCCAGCAGCCGCGGUAAAAC